rnacentral:rRNA from 1 species
CCUACGGGGGGCAGCAGUGAGGAAUAUUGGUCAAUGGACGCGAGUCUGAACCAGCCAAGUAGCGUGAAGGAUGACUGCCCUAUGGGUUGUAAACUUCUUUUAUAUGGGAAUAAAGUUGUCCACGUGUGGAUUUUUGUAUGUACCAUAUGAAUAAGGAUCGGCUAACUCCGUGCCAGCAGCCGCGGUAAUACGGAGGAUGCGAGCGUUAUCCGGAUUUAUUGGGUUUAAAGGGAGCGCAGACGGGUCGUUAAGUCAGCUGUGAAAGUUUGGGGCUCAACCUUAAAAUUGCAGUUGAUACUGGCGUCCUUGAGUGCGGUUGAGGUGUGCGGAAUUCGUGGUGUAGCGGUGAAAUGCUUAGAUAUCACGAAGAACUCCGAUUGCGAAGGCAGCCUGCUGGACUGUAACUGACGCUGAUGCUCGAAAG